rnacentral:piRNA from 1 species
UGCAUUGGUGACCCUGUGGCUUUGACU